rnacentral:rRNA from 1 species
CCUACGGGAGGCAGCAGUAGGGAAUCUUCCACAAUGGACGAAAGUCUGAUGGAGCAACGCCGCGUGAGUGAAGAAGGCUUUCGGCUCGUAAAGCUCUGUUGGCAGGGAAGAAAGAUAUAUGUAUUAUCUCGCCUUUAUUUGACGGUAAUUGCUUAGAAAGUCACGGCUAACUACGUGCCAGCAGCCUCGGUAAUACGUAGGUGGCAAGCGUUGUCCGGAUUUAUUGGGCGUAAAGCGAGUGCAGGCGGUCCAAUAAGUCUGAUGUGAAAUCCCUCGGCUCAACCGGGGAAUUGCAUCAGAAACUGGUGGACUUGAGUGCAGAAGAGGGGAGUAGAACUCCAUGUGUAGCGGUGGAAUGCGUAGAGAUAUGGAAGAACACCAGUGGCGAAGGCGGCUCUCUGGUC